rnacentral:rRNA from 1 species
CCUACGGGUGGCAGCAGUGAGGAAUAUUGGUCAAUGGACGCGAGUCUGAACCAGCCAAGCCGCGUGAAGGAUGACUGCCCUCUGGUUUGUAAACUUCUUUUAUAUGGGAAUAAACUGUUCCACGUGUGGGAUUUUGUAUGUACCAUAUGAAUAAGGAUCGGCUAACUCCGUGCCAGCAGCCGCGGUAAUACGGAGGAUCCGAGCGUUAUCCGGAUUUAUUGGGUUUAAAGGGAGCGUAGGUGGAGUGUUAAGUCAGUUGUGAAAGUUUGCGGCUCAACCGUAAAAUUGCAGUUGAUACUGGCAGUCUAGAGUACAGUAGAGGUGGGCGGAAUUCGUGGUGUAGCGGUGAAAUGCUUAGAUAUCACGAAGAACUCCGAUUGCGAAGGCAGCUCACUGGAAUGUAACUGACACUGAGGCUCGAAAGUGUGGGUAUCAAACAGGAUUAGAUACCCUUGUAGUC